rnacentral:lncRNA from 1 species
UUUUUAUUUUUUGUCUUUUCUGGGGCCACACCCGAGGCAUAUGGAGGUUCCCAGGCUAGGGGUCUAAUUAGAGCUGUAGCCGCCGGCCCACACCACAGCCACAGCAAUGCUGGGUCCGAGCCGCUUCUGCGACCUACACCACAGCUCACGGCAACGCCAGAUCCUUAACCCACUGAGCGAGGCCAAGGAUCGAACCUAAAACCUCACAGUUCCUAGUCAGAUUUGUUAACCACUGCGCCACGACAGGAACUCCUGGACAACUUUUUGAAAGUACACUGAAUUCUAUAAAUUUAAAGGGUAAAUUUGGAAUUCUCUGGCGGCUCAAUGGUUUCAGGAUCUGGUGUCACAGCUGUGGCUCUAGUUACAGCUGGGCCACAGGUUUAAUCCCUGGUCCAGGAACUUCCACAUACCCUGGACAUGGCCACACACACACACACAAAAGGUCAAUUUUAGGUACAGAAAAAAGAGGACUGUAUAAAAGAUAAAUAAUAUAUAAUUCGAAAGUAUAGAGGCUGAGGAACAUCCUAAAGAAAACCCAGAAAAGGAAUUUUCAUGAUGGCUCGGAAAUCAGCCUACACGGUGAGAGCGUGUCUACAGCAGCCUCUCGUGGGGGAACCGUGACGGAGUCACAUUCGUUACGCGCGUGCUCUGGCCCGAGCCUCUUUCUAAGAAGCAGGUUCUCCAGUUUGCAGGCUGGGGCCCGGGAGAGGUGGGUGGGGGUGGGGGUGUCACAUCGACACGAUUAAGAGUGACUGGAUUCAGACUCAUCUCGCAGAGAACACAAUUCACAACUGAGCCUCUGCCUCAAAGACACAGACCACAAUACUGCUGCCAAACGAAAUGCUAUUACUGCAGGCAACUCACAACAGCUAAAAUCAGCAGCCUACACUUUCCAUAAUUUUAUUCCAAUGCGAAUACAUCCUCAUUAAGCAACAAAUGUACCUUCAAAGAGUACAGAGAAAUACUGUGAUUAAUGGUAGACCUGCCAGUUCCCACUGCGGCCUAGCAGGUUAAAUAAGAACACGACAGAGUGUCCAUGAGGAUUCAGGUUCGAUUCCUGGCCUUGCUCAGUGGGUUAAGGAUCCACGUCGCUGUGGCUGUGGUGUAGGCCGGCAGCUGCAGCUCCGACUCAACCCCGAGCCUGGGAACUUCCAUGUGCCACAGACGUGGCCCUACAAAAAAGAAAGGCGUUAGCAAGGAAACGUACAAUAAAACCACCAGGACAGUUCUCUUCAAGUUCAGGCUCAAACAGACCUGCCCGACAACACCGGUGCCUACAUGGAAGCGGCGCAUCAGACACCAGCGAGGCUGAGGGCCGAGGCAGAGCGACCGGCCAGCGGCCGCUUCUACGAAACGCCCUGGACAGCAGGGCUGCGAGGCACCCUCUCCGUGACGUGCCGGAUGUUCACCGCAGCUUCAUUCACAUAACCCGGACUGGAAACUCGCCAUGGAGACUCAGGAACACAGCGUGCAGGCUCCCUUGGGGGAAGAGACAGGACCUGCGCAACACGGCAGGCGAACCUCCCAAACGCCCCGUCCCGGGAGCAGCCCCAGAGGCAAAGGGACACAUGGUAAGAAUCUAUCUGUAUUUAGUAUGAAAGCGAAAAACACGGAUCAAAACAGACCAGCGGUUGCCUGGGAUGCAGGUGGACAGGGUGGAAGAGCGCCCGUGAUCUGAGGUGACCUCCAAGUUUACCUGACAGUCCAGGGCAAGCUUUUUUUCUUGGCCCCGCUCAAGGCAGGUGGAAGUUUCCAGACCAGGGAUGGAACCUGAGCCUCAGUAGUAAAAGCAGUGAGUCCUAACCACUAGACCAUCAGGGAACUCCAGGUCUCAAUUUUUAAAAGCAGCAUUUUAAAUUGAGGAAAUCAGAAAAAAUACAUACUGAAAAGACAGUUUAACAACUCAAAAUUAGUAGGUAUGAAAAAUAAGGUUAUUUUCCAGUAACUAGGUAUGAACCAUUUAUCACUCAUAAAACACUGAAAUGUGGAAAAUACUGAAGAAAAUAUCAAGAUUGGAGUCUUCUUUUUAGCCACAAGGCACAUUUAUUUUUAAAUGUUUCCUCCGUUCUACUGAGGGCAACUAGCAUUUUCAGAAAAACAGUUUACUCGCAUUACAUGCCACCUUUUUCUUCAAAGGUCACAAACGACAGUUACUACAGUUAUCAAUGUACAUAGUUCAGGUGAAGAUUUGAAAUCUAAUAAAGCAUAAGUUGAAGACUUUAUCAAACAUAAUUACUGCCUUCUAAGAAAAGUUAGCAUUAACUCAGUUUCAAGAGCUGAAACCUGUACCCAUCUGCAAGGCAACUGCGAUGAGAUGAAAAGGUCAUGGAAGGAAAAGAUACCAUUGAAAAAUUUUAAGCUUAAUUUUGUCCCCAAAUUUCUGCAAAGGCAUUUUUAAGUUAAAAAAAGAAAAAGGAAGAAAGAAAGAAAAGCAAAACUGUUCAAAACAAAAAGAAAAAACUCAGUAGCAUUAACCUCUUAGCACUAGGAUUUCUCAAGAGGCCUCCCCGAAAGAGUCAAAGAAAACCUACUCUGAUGGUUGAACACAAGGUAAAGUUUUUAAGACAAGUUCAACUACAGCAGGUACAAACUGCAUUCUUAGUUUAGAUUACAUGGAUAUCACAAACUUACAUGUCCAGCCUCCACUAUGUUCUUUGAAACUUCAAUAUUUCAGUAAAUUACUGAGUGCCAGAGCAGUUCCAUGAAUGAACCAUGUUCACGUGUAAUGAAAAGGCACCGAAUUACCAAAUGAUAAGCAAGAUUCUUUUUCAGCACAUCCUUCAAACCACUUUGAAAGAGCAUCUGCUGUUGCUCACUUUGAAGAUACCACGUACAUCAACAAAGCAGGAAAAACGAUUCCUGCGGGAUCCGCUCCGCACUCCCAUGCAGCAAGCAGGACGAGAAGUUAAACAUCAAACAAGUUUAACGGGCACGGCGGUGAGUUCAGGCGCUAUUCACACCUGUGUAAACGGGGUUGGGACACAGGUCUCAGGCGCCCGCAGAAGGCCGUCUCCCACGGCCUCCUCGCCGGGGACACCACCUCUGAGUUAGUGUGACCCAAACUAUACUGACAGGAAGAUACAUUAAGGUGCUUAAAUUCAGUGCUUUGUUCUGAGCACAAGAUACCAACGUAUCUUCUUUAAGAGGGAUUGAAAAGUCUAAAAACAGAAGGGAGAGCUUAAAAAUAUAUUUAUACCACAUUUUUUUAAAUGUCCAAAAUUUCCUGUUUAUCACCAAUGACUUUGAGAAAUUGAGACUACGCAAACCAGAUUAAAAGCAAACAGAGGAGUUCCCGUCGUGGUGCAGUGGUUAACGAAUCCAGCUAGGAACCAUGAGGUUGCAGGUUCGAUCCCUGGCCUUGCUCAGUGGGUUAAGGAUCCGGCGUUGCCAUGAGCUGUGAUGUGGGUUGCAGAGGAGGUUCGGAUCCCGUGUUGCUGUGGCUCUGGUGUAGGCCGGCAGCUGCGGCUCCGAUUCGACCCCUAGCCUGGGAACCCAUGUGCCACAGGAGGGGCCCUAGUAAAGGCAAAAAAAAAAAAAAAAAAGGCAAACAAAGGCAAGGCAUUAAAAAGCCAAUAAAAUAGUCAUAAAUCUCAACUUUUUUGUGUCUUCAUGCCAUCUGGACACACUCCCGUGGGCACACAGCCCAGAAGCCUAUACACGGCCACAGCUCAGACCCAGGAACAAACCACCCCCACCCCCCACCAGAGGGCAGCAAGACCUCCUAAAUGCUGGGGGCACUGAAGACACCCCCAGGUCCCUUCUCAGUCACCAUGACGGCUUAGAACACAGUCAACUCUCUGAGAUAAAGAAAUCUCAUUCUGACUCUGCUAAGAGGCCAGCGGGACCCUGGAAAAACGGCCUGCUCGCUGACUCAAGCGAAGUGCAGUAAGGCCACAGGUGUCUGGGGCCCUGUGCUCAGGCCUUCAUGGCAGGAACCCUCGACACAGUCGUGAGAGUCGCUUAAUUCUAACGUAGUGUAACUCAGAGGGUUCACACACGGACGCAGAAGCACCGAGGCUGCAGUAAAAUGCUCAAGUAAAAGAAGGCAGGCCCUAACCACUUCCCAGGAAAAGGUCUGGAGUGAAAGGCACAAAACGCGGGGGCGCAUUCCUGCUGAGGCAGAACACAAAGAUGAGGGCAGUCUCGAGUUCUGACCCCUCCACAUGUGCGGCUGUGUGAUCAACUGGCUGUACCCAAAUGACUGACGAAGAGGAAACUCUAACGCCACCAAGGUUGAGAAUCGGAGCCCAGGGGCCCUGAUGUGCUGGCACCUUCUGGUCUCUUUCGGACCCAGGCGUCUCCCGAGUCACAAACCAGGUGCAUCCUGGCCCCGGCCUUUCCCAUGACUUGUCUUUUCAUCAAGCGCCCUGCGGAGUUCCCGCCGUGGUGCAGUGGGCUAAGAAUCUGACUGCCGGGGCCCGGGUCGCUGCAGAUGCAGGUUCAUUCCCCUGCCCAGAGCAGUGGGUUAAAGGAUCCAGCGUUGCUGCCACUGAGGCUGGGAUUCAAUCCCUGGCCCAGGGGACGUCCGUAUGCCACACAUCUUGAAACACACACCAAAAAAAAAAGAAAGGAAAUUAAAAAAAAAAGAGGGCACUGCCAUCAUGGCUCGGUGCCAACAAACCUGAUUUAAAUCCAUGUGGACGCAGGUUCCAUCCCUGCUCCCACUCAGUCGGUUCGGAAUCCGGUGUUGCCGUGAGCCAAGGUGUGGGUCGCAGAUCUGCUGCGGCCGUGGUGUAGGCUGGAGGUCGCAGCUCGGAGUCGACCCCUAGCCUGGGCCCUUCCCCGGGCCUGAGUGCGGGGCCGGGCGGGGAGGAAGGAAGGAACCUGCACUGCAGCCCCGCGCGCGCACAGGCCACGCGGCCCCACCACAGAGGGAUCCGUCCAACAGCACAAUCCCCCCCACGUAGGCACAGGCACACGUUCAGCCUCAGCUCCCCGUGGGGCGAACAUCUCACCGAAGGGGCCUUGGCGUCUCUGGCAGGAAAACAUGGCUCAAAAAACGGUGGCGCCUGCCUGGCUCCCUCGGCCCCACCCGCCACCCGCCUGCGGCUGGGAGCCCCGCGGGCUCACAGGACGUGCGGCGCCCCACGCCCAAGGCCUAGGGGCCCACGGCAGGGAACACGGCUGGCAGACGGCCCUUCACACCCACACCGGACCCCGGACCCCGAAGCUCGGACCGGACCGGGCGCGAGGCGGGAACCUGCCCCACAGCAAAGGGCCUCCCUCAGUCCCUGGUAAAGCUCCACCACCCAACCACUACUAUCGUAAGACACGGAACAUUCCAGCAUUUCAAUUCGCUGCAAGCGUCCAAAUACACAUAAUAAUUUACUGAAUAACCAACCACAAUUCCUUGAGAAAGCAUACGAGUUUUUUUAACAUUUUCUUCAUUUUCGGUGAAGCUACCUCACACACACGGCUGAGAGGCCCUCCCGAUUUCACUUGUAAAUAAAGUUUACCUCCCCUCCAGUAUUUCCAAGGAACACAAGGUGGUAAAUUUCAAGUAAAAUUUCAAAACUUCCCACCAACAGGGGAAGGGCUCCUCUAGAAGUCUUCCGAGGUUCUCCUACUCUUGACACUAAACUUAGGGACUUCGCGUUAGCACAGCACCGCUAAUGCUGCCCCCACUGCCACUGCUCAAGAACUGCACAACUUGCUCUGGAUGAAAGACUGCUGAACGUGAGUCAGACGCCCGUCUCUACCGCAAACAGCACCAACAGAGCCCAUCGCAACCUUGGUUUAAUGCCCCCAGUAAGUCAAACGGCUAAUCCUCACCAGGUCCUUAGAACCCUGUCAUGCUGGUAAUUCUCCCCGAGACAGUAACUGGUUUAUUUAAUGAAACAGGCACCUGCUUGCGUAACCUCAUAUGUGACAGACACACGAGAACUCCUGCAAUCCUCAUUAACCACUGUCAGGACCACCUCAAGGCUUUCCCCAGUUUAAUCAAAUCUGGACUCCUCCACUUUCACCACUGCCUGCAGCGAUUCCCUGAGUCUUUGUCAACAUCCCAUCUUCACUGACUCGGUGCACGUGCUGAGGACUGACAGGAAUACAGUUAAAUUCUCACUCUCCACAGUAACAACAGGCAGAACGCAGAACACGACAGAGACACACGCACCCGAGACCCAAGUCAUUCAACCAGAAUUUUACCCUGCAGACAGGUUCACACACGUGCUCUGGGACAUGCAGCCAACAGGAUGCUUGUAACAAGGAGAAAACAAGAACACAUCAGAGAGACACUGUCCCCACAGAGGUGGUGCCUGUCUAACAGUGACCUGCCUGCACCUGUAAACAGUGAGGGACCCCGGGGAGAGAAGCUGGGCAGUGGGCACACAUCACCAUGUACAAUCUUGCAUUUCCACAUCUGUGUAUCAGAUGCAUAUUAUUCAAAAAUUCAAAACUAUACCGAAUGAGUUUCAGCAUUGGCAGUUUGUGAAGACUAGUUGGCUUGUACAGGUAAUAAGGCUUAAAAAAGAGAUGGUAUGAUAAAGGGUUACUUCUGGAUCUCAAAGGAAGGUCUGAACGAUGGCUGCGGCACAGAGCAGAAUGAGGUAACUUUAUGAUUCUGUUUUUUAAUUUGAGGGCUGCACCCACAUGGAAAUGCCCCGGCUAGGGGUGGGAUCCGAGCUGCACCUGCGACCCCACACCACCGCUCACGGCAACACCGCAUCCUUCGCCCACUGAGUGAGGUUCGGAAUCCCAACAGCCUCCUCACAGAUGCUGGGCAGGUACUAAUAGGGGCUAAUCCCCAUCUGGUCUCCACAGUUAUUUAUGCUGGCCAUUAACCAAGUAUGAGUAAAAGGGGUGAUUUUUCACAAACACCCAUUCCUAGCCCGUGCUUUCUUCUGUGACGCACGCAUGUGACGGCACUGCUGUAUGGUGGCUCGGCAUGUUCCGCAAAGACCGGGCCCAGCAGGGCCUUCCAGGUCUAUCUGAACAGCCACACACAGCGGUGUACACGGUUUUCAGACCCUGACAACAGACACCUCAUGCUGGUGAACUGUCUGUUUCACACUCUUAUCAAGUGGUGUUUACGGAUGGCAACGAACCUCUUCUCCAGCCAAGACCACUGCCUGAGCAUCAUGAGUUCACAUGCGCGACACCUUUCCGGAGGCCACGAGACCCGAGGACCUCCAGCCCACGCUCACUUCUCUUGGAAGUGGGCAGCACCAAAACUACGGGCCUUGGGGGUAAAAGCAGUCCCUCCUGCCUGCUUCCUUCCGUGUAACUCCCCACCCCCACACGCCUCAGUUAACCCAGUCCGACUGCUCUGCAUUUGCUAAAUAACUGACAUGUCUUCAUUUCUCUCUUUUACGAUUUUUUUGGCUGCACUCACCAGGGCCAGGGAUCGAACCAAGUCACAGCAGUGACAAUGCCGGAUCCUUACUCGCCAGGGCACCAGGCAACUCCUGAUACACCCUGCUUUACGCUUUUGCUCUCCAAUCCUUUUCCACAUCGCGUCUAGCUUCCCGACCCCC